AAGAAAAAAAAUCAAAACCGACGGUUUACUCGAUCACAUCACUCGACCGGUUUGUGUUUUUGGUUUGUUGGGACUAACGUAUUAAUGUUUAUCCUUGAGUUUCAUUUGUUUUCAGGUUUCAUCAUGAGUAACUACAGUGGAGAAUCCUCAAUGGAUCCUGAUUAUAACGUAGAUGAAGCAGAGUCUUGGUCCACUAGACAAGAGAGAGAAGAACACGUUUACGAGAGUUUCAGAGAAGAAUUUGAACGCUCCGCAGCACGACGUAAUCAGAGAAGAGCUGAAAUCGCCAGAGGAAAGAGAGCGAUGUCGAGUAGAUAUGAGCUGAUCGAUGAGGACAUCGAAACUGAGUAUGAGCCAAAGUCAUGGUGCAAGGAGACGAAGCUGCUGAACAAACCCGACGAGGUUACAGUGGAGGAGUAUAUCAGAUUCUUUGAGAUGAAUGACUUCUGGAGAACGAGGUAUCCCUGCUAUGAGACUUUAGCCGAGCUGGGUUACUGGAGGACGUGCAACAUUUGUUCGAGAAGUGUCAUCUGGAAACAUUCAUGUCUUAACCUUACGUAUAAGGAGGAGACAAUCGAGUUUCUUUCCACACUGCAAGUAGAGAUGUAUGAGGGUCUCACGGACUUUGAGCUGGAUACCAUGGGGUUAGGGUUCUUGACGUUCUCAGUGGAUGAAUAGCGGUAUCAGCUUUCGAUCAAGAAGUUGGAAGAACUGUUUGGUUUCCCUAGUGGAAAGGGAACCAAACCUAGGUUUGACAGGGAAGAGCUUAAGGAUUUGUGGGCUACUAUUGGGAACAAUUUACCGCUAAACUCGACACGGUCCAAGAGCAACCAAAUCCGGAGUCCUGUGAUCCGCUACUUUCAGCGCUCGGUUGCCAACUUUUUUUACUCCAGGGAGUCUACAGGCACCGUGUCUAACACGGACAUGGAGAUGAUAGAUUUCGCGCUUCCAGGGAUUCUCCGCCGUAAAAAGGGAAAGAAUGUCUUGAGAGGCGAUCUCAACAACGCACCACCAGUAAUGCCUCUAUUGAUCCACCUGUGUGGAUAAAGGAAGUGGGCGUUGACAAACGGCAAGAAGAAGGUGAGAGGAGCACUAUGCGUGGGUGGCGUUGUGACGCCAAUUCUGGAAGCUUGUGGAGUACCGCUCAAGGAGCCAGGGUUAGCACCGAGAAUGAUGGACUUGGAUCACUUGCGCCGAUGUGAGUUUGACAUGGUUGGCAACUUUCACCGCUAUAGGUUCGAGCAUUCAUUGAUUAGAAUCGCCAACAUUCUUCUCCCCUGCAUUAACGCUACUAGGAUUCUCGAGGGAAGGAACAUUGAUUUCAAGCCUUCGCUUGAAAAUCUUUAUUUCGAGGGCAGUCCGCCAACUGAGGAGAUUAGUCACACCGAAGGAGCUACAACAGAAGAUGUUGAUGAGACAGAUGAUAUAGAUGAGGCGGAGUUUGACACAAGCAUGUAUCAUUUCAGUGAGCAUAUACCUCGAGCGAGGGAUAGCAAGAGUUUGAGCGAAGCUCACAGGAACAACAGCAAGCUGCAGAAGUGGUGCAAGAAACAUGAUAAGUUACUCGCCAACUCCCUCAGGACAUGCCCUCGAGGAGAUAUGACGCGCCUAAGCCAAGUCGGCACGAGCCUGAGCCUAGAGAGCAGGAGAUUCCGCAUGUCCCUGUGAGGUAUUCAUUAUUCAAGCCUCGUGAAUCUGGGAGGAAGAGGAGGACCACACUCACUCGAUCUAGCAGCAGAAGUAGACGCCUUAUGCAGUCUCAUAGUUUACGCGACCGCGGUGCUGGCCGCAGCAAAAGAAGAGAGGUCGAGUAUCCUCAAAGCGGUGCUGGUCGCCACAAAGCUGAUGAGGUCGAGUACCCACCCUCUGGAGCUGAUACGGAACAUGGCGGUUCGUCUAUAGCCUGGGAGCAAUCACAUGCAGCCAUUGACGACCAACUUCGCUCAUUCUUCGACUGAGGUAAGCGCCUCACUUCACCAUUGUAUUAUAUCAUAUCUU
rnacentral:sRNA from 1 species